rnacentral:lncRNA from 1 species
UUUAUCUCUCCAUUCAAAUUUCUCAUAUCCCCUCAAAUUUCUGAUAUUCUCUACAUCAUAUCUAUUCUCCCUCUCCCUCUCAUCUUCCAACUCUCCGGUAUGGAGUACCAGUGGAGGCAUUAGAGCAAGAAGCCUUGUCGAAUUUCUCAUGUUUGGAAAGACUUGAACCUUUACUCUCUGCAAAAGUUGAUGACUCAUUUAUUUGGUGUUUUUGGCAGCAAAUACAUAUCUGAUGUGAGAUCGAAUUUUGACUCGGUCCAGGAGGCGGCACUAGUAAAACAUUUACUAAAAAAAGUAUAAUUCAACCACUAUAAGAGGGUAUUUGGAUUGGCUUAUUUCGAGUCAAAUUGCGGCCCUCUCGACGAGAUGACGUUAGGGUUGUUUUUUGAAUAAAGAUGUUAAAGUUGGGGGCUGAGCAACUUUGAAUUUUUUGUUAAUAUAUUUCAAUGUAUCUCGUUGUAUUUUAUUGUAUUCAUUGUCUUUUUU